CCCCCUUAAAAUAUUUCAGACCAGGAUUAUUUCCUUCAUAUACAUUCUCUGGUGGUGUCAGUCUACUGUGUAAAUUUACAUCAAUAUCCAUCAAGGUAAUUAAACAUAGUUGCACUUACAGGUCCUGUUGCCACUUAUUGCAAUAUUAAACUAAUUAGGUUCAAUUAUCUCCCUUGAAAAGUAUUGGAUCUGGACUAUUUCCUACAUACUCAAGUCUUAGGUUGUGUACUGCAACAGUGUUAAGUUUCAAAAUCAAUCAAUGCAAAUAAUGGAACUAGGUGAGUAUUUGAGUUGCACUUACGAGACCUGUUGCCACUUAUUGCAAUGUUAAACUAAGUAAAUUCAAUUAUCUCCCUUGAAAUAAUUUAGACUCUGUAAAGUUUCAUCUUAUUGGUACAUACAUUACGGAGGAGUUAAGUUUACAAGAC
rnacentral:lncRNA from 1 species